AGGCGGCCGCGGCUGGGUGCCUUUGUUAGGGAAAUGCAUUCUUGGGAGUAGGAAGGGAGAGCUGCAGCGUACACAGAGCAGCAGGGAGGUGGCGAUUAAUCACCCGGGACUUUUUAGUUUAGGAAAAAGACCACUAGGGGAGACAUGAUAGAAGUCUAUAAAAUCAUGCAUGGUGUGGAGAAGGUGGAGAGAGAGAAAUUAUUCUCCCUCUCACCUAACACUAGAACCAGGGGCUAUCCCAUGAAAGUGACUGUCAGGAAAUUUAGGACCAGCAAAUAGAGGAAUUCACCUCCAGAAGAUUAUUGAAACCAAACCUGGAGAUCUGAAUGGCUUGCCCUUAUGAACAGAACUGAAAACAAGAAUCUCAGGGACUAGCUCCAGUGGUAACCCCCUAGCUGACCUUGUCUUGCUAGACUUUAAAUCUAUACACACACACCUCAGUCCCCAUCACUGCAGUGCCUCCUGGCUAUCUAAAUGCAUGCAGAAGAACACCACAUGCCAAAAUAACUGCACAAUCAAAGAGAAAUGUGUUUGUAUAGAAAUAUGUCCAAACUAGUGAUGGCUCCAGGUUGGAGAAGAGAGAAAAGGAAAGGAGGAUUAUAACCACUGUGACAAACUUGAAAAUAUGCUUUCUAAGUGAAAUGGGGAACCAGAGGAGAGCUAUCCUGAGGGUAAAACAGUAAGACAACACAAUUUUUAUUUAUCA